rnacentral:lncRNA from 1 species
AUGCUUUCAUUCUUGAAUGCAACCGGGACUGAACUUCACUCACCAAAGGGAGCUGGUCCUCUCAGCUAUUUCUUACCAGAGAUCUGGUGUAGCCAGCAGAACCAAACCUCCAGAGUGCACUGCUGGACCAUUUGGAGGCAGCCUGUCAGUUUUCAUCAUGAAGGUGCUACUACACAGGAAAAGGAAAACUUCAAGGGUGAUCAAAAUGGCUCAUCAAGGUUGGAAGGGCGGCUCAACGGCUUUGGCAAUGGAAGGGAGUCUCCAUUGGACUAUCCAGCAGGAUUUGAAGUAGUAGUGGUGGAAGCACCUUGUGGGUUCAGGGUGGAGGGCAAGCUUCCAGCAUCAAAUAGGGUGCCAGAUCUAUAUGGAGGAACAAAAGGUGAACUGCUGAUCUACCUUCCCCAGGGAAAGAGCAGUUGGCAUAAAUCGGCGGUCCUGCGCUGGAUACACCUAGGAGACACAGCCACUGCAGACCUAGCAGGUCUUUUGACUGUUUCUGCUCUUUACCUGAAGGAUCAGUUCCUAUAGGAGGAUUCUCUCAAUUACAACAAAUGAAGAGGUGCUGCUUCAUUAUUUAGCCAGGUAUAACUAUUGUUUUAUUGCAUUUCAAAUACCUGAUCUUAAGAGUAGGAAGAUUCAAUGUUUCCAGCAUGAAAACUAGGGAUCCAAACAGUGUUUUCCUAGGAGGAAUGUGUUUAAUACAGAGUAACCAUUACAUUUCUGUAAUAAGCCUGCAUAGGAUUCACGUCUCUCUUUCCAUCAUGGGGAUCAGAGCUAUGCAGACAUUUAGGACAGCAAAUGGAGCUAUGUUGGGGUUUAUAUGUGGUGUAUGUCUGAGAUGUGCAAGACUGAAGUUCCAUAAUAAAAAUAAAAAAAGGUCUGUAUAGUGAGAAUCU